AUACCAUGGUGAGGGCACUUUCGUAAUAACUCCUUGAACCGCUCCCAUGCCUCAUAUAAAGACUCUUUGUCAAGUUGUUGAAAUAAAGUGAUUUCUUUUCAGAUCUU
rfam:Gossypium raimondii chromosome 5, whole genome shotgun sequence.